rnacentral:lncRNA from 1 species
ACCCGCCCGUGGCUGCAGCAGUGGUGUCCCAUUUUAAUGACUGCCCAGAUUCCCACACUCAGUUCUGCUUCCAUGGAACCUGCAGGUUUUUGGUGCAGGAGGACAAGCCAGCAUGUGUCUGCCAUUCUGGGUACGUUGGUGCACGCUGUGAGCAUGCGGACCUCCUGGCCGUGGUGGCUGCCAGCCAGAAGAAGCAGGCCAUCACCGCCUUGGUGGUGGUCUCCAUCGUGGCCCUGGCUGUCCUUAUCAUCACAUGUGUGCUGAUACACUGCUGCCAGGUCCGAAAACACUGUGAGUGGUGCCGGGCCCUCAUCUGCCGGCACGAGAAGCCCAGCGCCCUCCUGAAGGGAAGAACCGCUUGCUGCCACUCAGAAACAGGAUGCCGGCUUUAUUAACAAAAACUCUAACAAGUCACCUCCACUAUGUGGGUCUUCCUUUCCCCUCAAGAGAAGGAGCAAUUGUUCCCCUGAGCAUCUGGGUCCAUCUGACCCAUGGGGCCUGCCUGUGAGAAACAGUGGGUCCCUUCAAAUACAUAGUGGAUAGCUCAUCCCUAGGAAUUUUCAUUAAAAUUUGGAAACAGAGUAAUGAAGAAAUAAUAUAUAAACUCCUUAUGUGAGGAAAUGCUACUAAUAUCUGAAAAGUGAAAGAUUUCUAUGUAUUAACUCUUAAGUGCACCUAGCU